rnacentral:rRNA from 1 species
AGUCAACAUAGCAAUAUGUGGCAUACGGCUCAGUAACACGUAGUCAACAUGCCCAGGGGACGUGGAUAACCUCGGGAAACUGAGGAUAAACCGCGAUAGGUCAUCACUUCUGGAAUGGGUAAUGACUUAAAUCUACAUGGCCCCUGGAUUGGACUGCGGCCGAUCAGGCUGUUGGUGAGGUAAUGGCCCACCAAACCUGUAACCGGUACGGGCUCUGAGAGGAGGAGCCCGGAGAUGGGCACUGAGACAAGGGCCCAGGCCCUAUGGGGCGCAGCAGGCGCGAAACCUCUGCAAUAGGCGAAAGCUUGACAGGGUUACUCUGAGUGAUUUCCGUUAAGGAGAUCUUUUGGCACCUCUAAAAAUGGUGCAGAAUAAGGGGUGGGCAAGUCUGGUGUCAGCCGCCGCGGUAAUACCAGC